rnacentral:rRNA from 1 species
CGUGUAGGCGGGUCUGUAAGCCGAUGGUGAAAUCCCCGGGCUCAACCCUGGGUGGUCUGUCGGAACUGCAGGUCUAGAGAAAGCCAGAGGCAGGUGGAAUUCCAGGUGUAGAGGUGAAAUUCGUAGAGAUCUGGAGGAACACCGGCGGCGAAGGCGGCCUGCUGGGGCUUUUCUGACGCUGAGGCGCGAAAGCGUGGGGAAGCAAACAG